GUUUGCUUUGACAGGUACUUAAAAUUGCAUUUUGUUGUCUCCUUUACUGGGUGUUUUAUAUAUUAUUGGUUUUAUGUACUUAUGUUCUUUCUAAUAUUUUCUGGUUGUGGUUGUUCCAUUGUGAGUUACGCCAAGUGAUUUGACUCAAUUUAAACCCUUUCUAUGUCGUUUAUAAUAUAGAAUAAACAUGAAUUACUACUAGCACAACUUGCGAGAUUUGCAGAUCAUCACGGGACAGGACUUACAAGGUUUACUUGAUCUUGUCAUAAUUUGCUUCAUGCAACACCUUCUAUACGUGUCUCUUGUAAAGUUCAGUCAUUGGAUUUUCCACCGAAAAUUUUAAAAAUUAAAAUUUAUAUCACUGGUCUGCGUACCUUGAAAGUCAGGGAAUCCUGUAAUGAAGACAGCAACUGAGAGCUGAACGACAAGUCUUGACGAAAUACCAAGUCAGAAUAUGUCAUCAAGAAAAGCUUGAGGAUUCACCUUUGCGUAAGCUCAGUUACCGGAGGCUGAUCAACCUUGUCCAGAUCGUUCAUUUUGUUUAGCAUUUUUCCAUUCUCAGUCUUUGGCUUAACAGAUCUAUAAUGUGAACAAAUGCUGCAACUGUUAUUUUAUAUAAUAAGCAAUUACCAAAUUUAGAAUAUCACAACAAAUUAUUGGCAUGACGCUUUCUACCUUUGCAGAUUACUUGCAAUCAGAGAGGAUUCAAAUACAGAAGCUUUGGGGCUCUACAUGGCCAAGUCCUUGAACUUAUACAACAUUCUCUACACCCAUGUGAUUGAGCCGAGGUUGAAUACGAGAUUACUGAGUGCCUUCAGAUUCAAGCAUUCAAUAAUUCAAGCAUAAGUGAAGAACAUGAGAAGAAAGAAGCUAAUGUGGUUUUUUUUCUCUCCAAGAAAUGACUAGUGCUUAACUAAUGCAAAUGCACAAUUCAAUAAUUUCUUAAUUUUUCGAUAUAUUCAUAGAUUGUGCUCCAUUUUCUUUCAUCACAACAUUUGUGGGCACUUGAUUCACGAAUCUGUUUUAGGACCCUAGCAUACCAAAACCCAUUUAUUCAAAAAAUUAGGGAUUAAUUUCAAGAGACUUGAACACAUGUGACAUGACCGAUAUAUCGAUAAUAAAAUCGUUUAGUACUCGAACACAACCUCAAGGGUUUCAAAUUUUUAGACAUUGAAGCCGACUAUUAAUAUACACACAUGUCAAUUAUAGUUUGUGAAAUUAAUCGAAUCCAAUUCAGACCUCAAUUUCUUCCGCAAUGCCACAAGACUCGAUCUCAUCUUCUUCCGCAAUUCCUUCCGCAAUUCCACAGGAACAUCUCGCAUUGAAUCACAAGACACCGAACUUGGCAUCUCAUCAAACGCAUACAACGCCGCCGUCUCAUUUACAUAACUUUCAACAACACAAGCUGUAUGUCAUCCACGUAAACAAUAUAAGGAUUGAUUGUGUAUAUGUAUUAAGAUUGUUUCUAGAGAGAGACAUCUUACCUGAUGUAACAAUGAGUAUGAAGAGCAAUAAGCUUUUCUCCAUUUUCACACCCCGAUAUUGUUUACUCAUUCCCUG
rnacentral:lncRNA from 1 species